UGGUCAUUACCAAGGCCUUUAGAACGCAAUUUCUCACUUGCUGUGGACAUGACCAUAAAAGAAAUUUCCCACCCUUUGCUACCUGGCUAGCAAUCAGCCUAUUGGGGACAUUU
ensembl:snoRNA